GUAUUCAUUUCAGCAGCACAUAUACCAAAAAUUUGAACAAUAUGGAAAAGAUUAGCAUGACCCCUGCACAAGGAUGACAUGCAGAUUUGUGAAACAUUUCACAUAUUU